rnacentral:rRNA from 1 species
GACGAACGCUGGCGGCGUGCUUAACACAUGCAAGUCGAACGUGAUUUUUGUGGAAAGCCCUUCGGGGACGGAAAUGAAAUGAAAGUGGCGAACGGGUGAGUAACACGUGAGCAACCUACCUUACACAGGGGGAUAGCCGUUGGAAACGACGAUUAAUACCGCAUGAGACCACAAAGCCACAUGGCUUAGGGGUAAAAGAUUUAUCGGUGUAAGAUGGGCUCGCGUCUGAUUAGCUAGUUGGAAGGGUAAAGGCCUGCCAAGGCAACGAUCAGUAGCCGGUCUGAGAGGAUGAACGGCCACAUUGGAACUGAGACACGGUCCAAACUCCUACGGGAGGCAGCAGUGGGGAAUAUUGCACAAUGGGGGGAACCCUGAUGCAGCGACGCCGCGUGAGCGAAGAAGGUUUUCGAAUCGUAAAGCUCUGUCCUAUGAGAAGAUAAUGACGGUAUCAUAGGAGGAAGCCCCGGCUAAAUACGUGCCAGCAGCCGCGGUAAUACGUAUGGGGCGAGCGUUGUCCGGAAUUAUUGGGCGUAAAGGGUACGUAGGCGGCCUUUUAAGUCAGGUGUGAAAGCGUGAGGCUUAACCUCAUUAAGCACUUGAAACUGGAAGGCUUGAGUGAAGGAGAGGAAAGUGGAAUUCCUAGUGUAGCGGUGAAAUGCGUAGAUAUUAGGAGGAAUACCGGUGGCGAAGGCGACUUUCUGGACUUUUACUGACGCUCAGGUACGAAAGCGUGGGGAGCAAACAGG